rnacentral:rRNA from 1 species
GACGAACGCUGGCGGCGUGCUUAAUACAUGCAAGUCGAACGCUGAAGCUCAGAUUUUGUUGGGCGGACGUGUGCCGCACGGGUGAGUAACACGUGUGUAUCCUGCCUCUAUCUUUCGGAUAACGCUUGGAAACGGGUGCUCUUAUUGGAUAUUCUCUAGUCUACGCAUGGGGUCUGUAGUGAAGGGCGGUUUUGGUGGCGGUUGGGCUCGCGGCCUCUCAGCUUGUUGGUGGGGUGAUGGUCUACCAAGGCCUUGACGGGUAGCCGGCCUGAGAGGGUGACCGGUCACAGUGACACUGAGAUACGGCCCAGACUCGUACGCGAUGCAGCAGUGGGGGAAAUUGCACAAUGGGCGCAAGCCUGAUGCAGCGACGCCGCGUGAGGGAUUGAGACCUUCGGGUUGUGAACCUCUUGCGCUAAUGGUCAGGCCGCAACAAUGGAUGUGGUGAGGGUAGUGAGUAAAGAAGCGCCGGCUAACUACGUG